rnacentral:rRNA from 1 species
UACGUAGGGUGCGAGCGUUGUCCGGAAUUAUUGGGCGUAAAGAGCUCGUAGGCGGUUUUGUUGCGUCGGCCGUGAAAAACCUGCAGCUUAACUGUGGGCCUGCGGCCGAUACGGGCAGACUUGAGUUCGGUAGGGGAGACUGGAAUUCCUGGUGUAGCGGUGAAAUGCGCAGAUAUCAGGAGGAACACCGGUGGCGAAGGCGGCUCACUGGCCCGGUACUGACGCUGAGGUGCGAAAGCGUGGGGGAGCAAACAGG